rnacentral:miRNA from 1 species
UUGUAGGAAUGGGCUGUUUGGGA